rnacentral:lncRNA from 1 species
GAUGUGCACCUCACCGACGUUCACCGAUAACGCACAUCUUUAUUCCAGCUCUACCAAUUGGAAGAGACCUGCUCUUGAUUCAUCUAGUGAAUUCGGAAGAGCUUCUUCGAGAGCUAGAGGCCAUAGAAUGACUCCCUGAGACGAUUGGUGCGAAGCUUCUUUUACCAGAAAUUGAUUUUAUAAUCCUCAUCUAGCCCAGGGAAUUGUAACAGGUCAUCACCAGCGAAUCAUUUGGAAAAAGAACAAGACCUAGUAAGACAGGUUGAUGACCAAAAACCAAUCAUCUCAGCAAGUUUUUCAAGGAAACACUAUUCAAACACAACAUCCUGAUCCAUGGUCAAGUCACAAGUUACAGAUGUCUCAACAGAUUCACUGCCAUCCACACGCCCCACA